rnacentral:rRNA from 1 species
CGAAACCUACGGGGGGCAGCAGUGGGGGAUAUUGGACAAUGGGGGAAACCCUGAUCCAGCGAUGCCGCGUGAGGGAAGAAGGUUUUCGGAUUGUAAACCUCUGUGGAGGGGGACGAUAAUGACGGUACCCCUUUAGGAAGCCACGGCUAACUACGUGCCAGCAGCCGCGGUAAUACGUAGGGAGCGAGCGUUAUCCGGAUUUACUGGGUGUAAAGGGCGUGUAGGCGGGAUGGCAAGUCAGGCGUGAAAACUAUGGGCUCAACCCAUAGCCUGCGUUUGAAACUGUCGUUCUUGAGUGAUGGAGG